CGAUGAGGUAGAGGUCGCAACUUUUAAGAGUAGAACAGACGAGAUGCAGAGAACAUCAAAGACUCAGCUUGAAAGGAAAAGUUGCCGAAGUUUGUGUUUUACUCUGAAAGCAUAAGCUGGGACUGUAUCCGAAUAGGAACAGAACUGUCACGCAUAGCAGGAUACUGGUAUGCGAGUUGUGCUAUCUUACGG
rnacentral:ncRNA from 2 species